rnacentral:rRNA from 1 species
UACGAAGGGGGCUAGCGUUGCUCGGAAUUACUGGGCGUAAAGGGAGCGUAGGCGGACAUUUAAGUCAGGGGUGAAAUCCCAGAGCUCAACUCUGGAACUGCCUUUGAUACUGGGUGUCUUGAGUGUGAGAGAGGUAUGUGGAACUCCGAGUGUAGAGGUGAAAUUCGUAGAUAUUCGGAAGAAACACCAGUGGCGAAGGCGACAUACUGGCUCAUUACUGACGCUGGAGGCUCGAAAGCGUGGGGAGCAAACAGG